GCCAUACUCGAUCUAAUCAUCACCCAGCAGAUGAUGUUUUCUGAGAACAACGCAAGAGACUCUGUUUUCUGAGAGAAGGGAAACAGCUUGUUGUUGUUGACCAAUUCAGGUUUUGGAUUCACAUUUGUUGAAGAUCAACAUGGGAAUAGCAAGAAGGAAGGCUCCCUGUAGAUCUUUCUCUCCACCAGCCUAAUCUUGCUCAGUUUCUUGUGGCACCACACCAAUUGAUCGGUUGUGAUUGUAGACAUUCUCAGCACUCUUGCCACCAGCUUCAGGUCUACUUGGGAGAAGAAGAGGUCCUGAUUUGAUCGAUCUUCCUUUGGCCUUUUGAACUUCUUGACUAUGCAGUUGCCGGUUCUUACAAUGUCUUUGAGCUUCUUCUCUUUCUGCACCAAACAAGAGGAGAUUACAGGAGAGGAGUAGAGACAGUUGAAGAACUGGAGAAGCAUGCACCACCUUGCGGAGAUCGGAUUGGAUGUCUUCCAUGAGGUCAAAGUCUGAUGGGUCUUGCAGGUCGACAUGAGCUCCCAUGAACCCUUUCAGAAUACCUGGGGUUUCAUCCUUGUCUGCCUUGACAAAUUCCCAGAAGAUCCUGAUGGAUUCCUCCAUGACAUCUUCUAUCAUCUCACUUGUGAUGUCAUAGCAUCCCUUCUGGUGAUCCUCCAUCUUCUCUCUCGCUCCAUCCUCUGCAACAAAACUGGCCUUCGGUUGAUGGUUUGCAGGAGCAACAGAUGCGGUUCGGAGGUUGCUUACCUCUGAUCAAAGGAACUUGGAGAAGAUUUCGGAGAACGCAUCGGUUUCUGAUGUAGUUUGGCAGCCUCGGCCCUUGAAAUGUUUCGUUCUCGACGAAUCUCUGGAUGACCACUUGGAACUGUUGGAAUUCUCCGGCCACUUGAUUGAAGUGGUGGCUUCGGUAUGGAUCGGAUUCCGGCAAUUCCCGAGCUUUCUCGUACUGCCAUCUCAAGAACUCCCAUGACAGGCAUGUCUGGCCAACGUACACCACUUCCAGGUCACUCUGAAGCUCCUUGAUGAACUUGUCUGAAGGUUCGGAGCUGGGUUUUCGACGAAUCGACCAGAAGCUUUGGGAGAGGAUGGAUGAGAUUGCUAAGGCUAAUGUCUUUCGAGGUCCCAGUGAUCUGAGAGGAUCCUUCACCUGCAGGAAACCUGGAAAUUGAGGAGGAACGCUGAUGGUUACUACUUACUGCAUGUAAUCAAUGGCGAGAGGAAGAGAGAGAGAGGAGAAGGAUUUGGACUGACCUAUUGCGUACAUUUUCUGGUAGUUGAGGAUGUCGAACUUCCUCAUCCUCUCCCUGUAGCUCCUGUAAGCCCUGUGCAGCUCGUCCAGUGGAUCCUCGUGAAGGAAGCUCUCGUCCAUCUUUAAUGGCUUCAGAUCCUCCACUGUUCGGGGGCUCUCUGACUCCUCCAGAAUCGUCGGCAGACCGAUGUCCCUCGCUCUCCUCAGCUCCAUCCUCAGCUGUUCUAUCAGGUCCUGGUGCUCCCAGAGCAGCUCCAGCUCGCUGUACUCCUCGUCUCCUGAGACCUUGAACUGAUUCUUCUUCUCCGACUCAUCAGCAGCAGCAUCUGGUUCGUCUCCUGCCUCUUCUGCAUCGAGGACUUCCUCAGGGCUCUUCAUAGGACUGCAACCUCUGCUCGUCGAAUCAAGAUCGUCGUCACUGGAAUCGGUGAACUCGAUUUGGGGUGCAUGAGAACAUGGCAGAUUCGUUGUUUCUUGAAGCCUGUCAUCAGCUUCUUCUUCUUCUUCUUCUUCUUCUUCUUCUUCUUCUUCUUCUUCUUCUUCUUCUUCUUCUUCUCCUUCUUCUUCUUCUUCUUCUUCUUGGUUCAGACUCUUCCGCAGCUGUUCUUCUUCUCCAUCGAAGUCUCUCUCGGACAAGAAACCAUCUGAGUCCACGACGAGGUCGUGCACCGAGUAACCAUCGCUCAUGCUAAUGGAGUCGGUCUCCGAAUCGAAGCCGGAGAAUUCCUCCGACAAAGAACAUGCUCCAUUCUCUUCCACGACCUCAUAAUUUCUCGGCAAUAUCUUGUCCUUGAUCUCGAUCGAAUCGCUGGCAUUGUGCACGGCAUCAUCAUCGGCAGCUGCUGCUGCUUCUUCUCCUGAAUCGAGCUCGGUACAAGAGGUUGCGGCUUUCGGCUGUUCCAUGAACCCGCGGAAGUCUUUUUCGGACGAGAAGCCGUGAGAAGACUCGUCUCCUCCAUCAACAGGAUUCAGGCAGACCUUUGCGCUCAUCUCUCUGCGAAGCUCCUCCUCUCCUAUCCCUGCACGCAACACAAACCGAAACAGCAAGCUCUCUCAACAUACAGCCGCAGAGGAACGAAGCAGCAGCAGCAGCUCCCACGACUCCCUUACCUGAAAGCGUGAUCGACGAUGAAGCUGAUCAAAACGAUCAGAAGAUAGACAAGAAAGAAGCAGCAACAGAAACCAAGGAGCGCCAUUUCUCAGCAGAACAUGUCAUCCGCCAACUCUCUGUUCAUCAAGAGAGAAGUCCACCCACCAUUAUCUCCACCUCAAGCAAGAGUAAAUGGACACUUCACCUGCAACAACAGAGCAAUAAACCUCAAAAGAACUCGAGCAACCGAAGCAAACGGGUAAACCGGAAGUGGAAGUCCCACCUGAAAGAUGUGAUGGCAGACGAAGAAGAAGGUGAGGCUUCCCAUCAGCCAUGGUUGCCUAAUGCUCUCCGAUGCUGUUGGCCUGCCAAGUGUAGUGAGGAAGAGAGAAUUCAGAUGAGAGGCUUGACCAAGCCAACCUGCAACAACCAGUCCAUCAACCCCUCCCAUCAUCUCGGUUUUACCUCUGUGAAUCCUGUGGAGGUCAUCAUCUUCAUGGUCCACAAUGGAUUCAUUCAAGAACCUUAAUUGGGUUCACCUAACUCAUCUGCAAAUUGAUACAAAUGAGAGACAACCUUAGAAUCA